GAUUAAGUUAUUAAGGGCGCACGGUGGAUGCCUUGGCACUAGAAGCCGAUGAAGGACGUUACUAACGACGAUAUGCUUUGGGGAGCUGUAAGUAAGCUUUGAUCCAGAGAUUUCCGAAUGGGGAAACCCAGCAUGAGUUAUGUCAUGUUAUCGAUAUGUGAAUACAUAGCAUAUCAGAAGGCACACCCGGAGAACUGAAACAUCUUAGUACCCGGAGGAAGAGAAAGAAAAUUCGAUUCCCUUAGUAGCGGCGAGCGAAACGGGAAGAGCCCAAACCAACAAGCUUGCUUGUUGGGGUUGUAGGACACUCUAUACGGAGUUACAAAGGACGACAUUAGACGAAUCAUCUGGAAAGAUGAAUCAAAGAAGGUAAUAAUCCUGUAGUCGAAAAUGUUGUCUCUCUUGAGUGGAUCCUGAGUACGACGGAGCACGUGAAAUUCCGUCGGAAUCUGGGAGGACCAUCUCCUAAGGCUAAAUACUCUCUAGUGACCGAUAGUGAACCAGUACCGUGAGGGAAAGGUGAAAAGCACCCCGGAAGGGGAGUGAAAUAGAACCUGAAACCGUGUGCUUACAAGUAGUCAGAGCCCGUUAAUGGGUGAUGGCGUGCCUUUUGUAGAAUGAACCGGCGAGUUACGAUUUGAUGCAAGGUUAAGCAGUAAAUGUGGAGCCGUAGCGAAAGCGAGUCUGAAUAGGGCGUUUAGUAUUUGGUCGUAGACCCGAAACCAGGUGAUCUACCCUUGGUCAGGUUGAAGUUCAGGUAACACUGAAUGGAGGACCGAACCGACUUACGUUGAAAAGUGAGCGGAUGAACUGAGGGUAGCGGAGAAAUUCCAAUCGAACCUGGAGAUAGCUGGUUCUCUCCGAAAUAGCUUUAGGGCUAGCCUCAAGUGAUGAUUAUUGGAGGUAGAGCACUGUUUGGACGAGGGGCCCCUCUCGGGUUACCGAAUUCAGACAAACUCCGAAUGCCAAUUAAUUUAACUUGGGAGUCAGAACAUGGGUGAUAAGGUCCGUGUUCGAAAGGGAAACAGCCCAGACCACCAGCUAAGGUCCCAAAAUAUAUGUUAAGUGGAAAAGGAUGUGGCGUUGCCCAGACAACUAGGAUGUUGGCUUAGAAGCAGCCAUCAUUUAAAGAGUGCGUAAUAGCUCACUAGUCGAGUGACACUGCGCCGAAAAUGUACCGGGGCUAAACAUAUUACCGAAGCUGUGGAUUGUCCUUUGGACAAUGGUAGGAGAGCGUUCUAAGGGCGUUGAAGCAUGAUCGUAAGGACAUGUGGAGCGCUUAGAAGUGAGAAUGCCGGUGUGAGUAGCGAAAGACGGGUGAGAAUCCCGUCCACCGAUUGACUAAGGUUUCCAGAGGAAGGCUCGUCCGCUCUGGGUUAGUCGGGUCCUAAGCUGAGGCCGACAGGCGUAGGCGAUGGAUAACAGGUUGAUAUUCCUGUACCACCUAUAAUCGUUUUAAUCGAUGGGGGGACGCAGUAGGAUAGGCGAAGCGUGCGAUUGGAUUGCACGUCUAAGCAGUAAGGCUGAGUAUUAGGCAAAUCCGGUACUCGUUAAGGCUGAGCUGUGAUGGGGAGAAGACAUUGAGUCUUCGAGUCGUUGAUUUCACACUGCCGAGAAAAGCCUCUAGAUAGAAAAUAGGUGCCCGUACCGCAAACCGACACAGGUAGUCAAGAUGAGAAUUCUAAGGUGAGCGAGCGAACUCUCGUUAAGGAACUCGGCAAAAUGACCCCGUAACUUCGGGAGAAGGGGUGCUCUUUAGGGUUAACGCCCAGAAGAGCCGCAGUGAAUAGGCCCAAGCGACUGUUUAUCAAAAACACAGGUCUCUGCUAAACCGUAAGGUGAUGUAUAGGGGCUGACGCCUGCCCGGUGCUGGAAGGUUAAGAGGAGUGGUUAGCUUCUGCGAAGCUACGAAUCGAAGCCCCAGUAAACGGCGGCCGUAACUAUAACGGUCCUAAGGUAGCGAAAUUCCUUGUCGGGUAAGUUCCGACCCGCACGAAAGGCG
rnacentral:rRNA from 1 species